UACGGGGGGGCAAGCGUUGUUCGGAAUUACUGGGCGUAAAGGGCUCGUAGGCGGCCAACUAAGUCGGAUGUGAAAUCCCCAGGCUCAACCUGGGAACUGCAUUUGAAACUGGCGGGCUUGAGUGCGGCAGAGGGGGUGGAAUUCCGCGUGUAGCAGUGAAAUGCGUAGAGAUGCGGAGGAACACCGAUGGCGAAGGCAGCCCCUGGGCCGACACUGACGCUCAGGCACGAAAGCGUGGGAGCAAACAGG
rnacentral:rRNA from 1 species